rnacentral:rRNA from 1 species
GACGAACGCUGGCGGCGUGCCUAAUACAUGCAAGUAGAACGCACAGUUUAUACCGUAGCUUGCUACACCAUAGACUGUGAGUUGCGAACGGGUGAGUAACGCGUAGGUAACCUGCCUGGUAGCGGGGGAUAACUAUUGGAAACGAUAGCUAAUACCGCAUAAUAUUAAUUAUUGCAUGAUAAUUAAUUGAAAGGUGCAAUUGCACCACUACCAGAUGGACCUGCGUUGUAUUAGCUAGUAGGUGAGGUAACGGCUCACCUAGGCGACGAUACAUAGCCGACCUGAGAGGGUGAGCGGCCACACUGGGACUGAGACACGGCCCAGACUCCUACGGGAGGCAGCAGUAGGGAAUCUUCGGCAAUGGACGAAAGUCUGACCGAGCAACGCCGCGGGAGUGAAGAAGGUUUUCGGAUCGUAAAGCUCUGUUGUAAGAGAAGAACGGGUGUGAGAGUGGAAAGUUCACACUGUGACGGUAUCUUACCAGAAAGGGACGGCUAACUACGUG